rnacentral:tRNA from 1 species
GCCUUCGUGGUGUAACGGUAGCACACUCGGCCCAUAUUCGAGAGGUAUACGGUUCGAGUCCCGGUGAGGGCA